rnacentral:rRNA from 1 species
CCCUUAGAUGUUCUGGGCCGCACGCGCGCUACACUGAUGCGUUCAACAAGUUUCCUUGGCCGAGAGGCCUGGGCAAUCUUCUUAAUAUGUAUCGUGAUAGGGAUAGAUUAUUGCAGUUAUUAAUCUUGAACGAGGAAUUCCUAGUAAACGCAGAUCAUCAAUCUGCAUUGAUUACGUCCCUGCCCUUUGUACACACCGCCCGUCGCACCUACCGAUUGGAUGUUCCGGUGAAGCCUCGGGAUGAGGACUGGUGCCUUUAUUGGCAUGAGUUGUUCAGAACUUGUCUAAACCUUAUCAUCUAGAGGAAGGUGAAGUCGUAACA